GCCAGUCUGAUGAAAAACAGGACGUUUGUAGAAGUGACCGCUCGACCCUGACAACACAAGACAGUCGGCAUGAGUGAACGACAGGCCGCCUCAAUCUCAGGACUCGGGUUGUCCAGGACGUGUCGACACCACCUGAGAGCAGACUGUCCUCUCUCCAGAAACACAUGCUUCUUUGGAGACUCGUACAACCUAGUCAGGCCAGAUCACAAGUUUCAGAGCUUUGAUGGCACCUACCAGUUCUCUUCAUCCUGCUCGUCGUCCUCCACAUCGAGGAGCUCCACUGAGUCCAAAGCAGACUCUUCAUCCUGCAGCUCUUCACUGUCCCAGGACUCUUUUCGACUGUUAUAGUUACAGCAGGGCAAGGGUGAAUUACACCCAGACUUCAAGCUAUCUAGUCUCAUUCUAGCGUCCAUUGCAAAUGACUGACUGGUCCAGCCUUUGACUCUUGUUUGCUCAGAGUCUGUCCAGAUGUUGCAGUAUGAAUCUGAGUUUCCCUCCAGCCUCACAGAGCUGAGAAGAUGAUGGUUUUCACUUGUGUCAAACUCCACUGGUGGCUGAUUGCAAAAAUACCGUCUCCAGUCGCUCUUCAGAUGGUCUUGCAGCUCCAUUUUGUCAAUGAAUCCUCAAACUUUCUCACUUCUUCGAGCUUUUAUCCAGUUUAUGUUGCCUUCCACCUCAUCCCUCCAUUGUGUGGAAGUUACCAAAGUAGAAUAAGACAAUAAAACAAAGCGAUUCUGGUCAUUUUGCUCAGCACAAACAGCAACUGUGCAGCUUCUCUAAACCAUCUAUUGACCCAGAUUUGUUGAGUGGGGCUGUUAAGUAUAGACACUCAACAGAUUGGAUGGAUUUAGAGAAGCAUCAUGAGAUUAUGUGGAUUAAAGAGUGUGUGAGUUGCAACUAAGAAAGAAAAAGAGCGACUCAACAUCAAUACUAAUGUUGACAACGCGUCACUUUAUGUUGAGUUUCUUUGCUGCCGCUGAACGUUUGUGGUUGAUUGCUCGUACCUGACAUCACACCCAAGGAAGUCGCACUGAGAAGUGUCGUCAACGCACAAAGACACACACACACACACACCGGCAGAUUAACACUUUACUAACAUUAACUGUCAGUGACAAAAAACGUGAAGAUGUGUAAACCAUUUAGUACUUUAUAUUAUGUUGGAUUGAAGCCACCAUGAUCAAGUCUUGAUCAUCAUUUUUUUUUUAUCCCCUGUGUUUAUUCACCUAAUGUGGUUUUUAUUUACUUUUAACAUUUUACUGGUUUUAUUGUUGCAGUUUUUAUGCUGGUCCUCGAUUUCUAUGCAAUUGUUCUUAAACUUCUUUUUUGUUUUUUCUUCUUAAUGGCUUUUGUUUAUUGUAACAUUUUAUAAUGUAUGUCCUAAUUUUAUUCAUGUGUUACCUAUUGUACUAGAAUUCAUUCUUGUUUAUUUGUUUGCUCUGUGAAACACUCUUCCACCCAGAUUGGUUUCACCAGUCCCUCAUUAGUUUCACCUGUGUCUUGUUGUCCUGUCUUGUGUAUUUAGUCCCUGUGUUCCUUUGUGUGGUUGUCAGGUCAGUGUCUGUUCUCCGGACCAUUGUUGUGUCUCUGUGCUUCCCCUCCCUGUUCUGGAUUUUUGUUUCAAUAGACUUCUGAUGGGCUUCUGAUUUAUUCUUGGGUUGUUGGACUUUGUUUUUGAAAUUUUCCAAAACAAUAUCCUAUUUAAUAAAGUUAUAGGCAAGUGGAUUCACAAUUCAACACCACAGUACAAAGAAAAUAAAAGAUCAGGGAGCUAACGCCAAUUAUUGUGAUUGUUUAGCAUUAGUAUGUCCUAGCUGGCUAGGAAAGUUGUAGUUAAAGGUCCAGCGUGUGGAUUCAUAGACAGUAUGAAUAUGGACUUUAUAUCUGUGAUGUCACCCACAGGUUUAUGAAGAGACGUUGUGAAGCUCAGCAUCUGAUGGCUCUGGCCGUCAUCAUCUCCCAGUAAAUCUAAAAAUGGAUCGUGAGUGUUCAAACAAGCCACCUGUCAAUCAAACUUGCCAUGCUG